CUACCUGGCCCUACAUCUACAGAUUGUCGGGCUGUUUUCCUUAGGGGGGGUGGUGCCUCGUCAUCAGUGUCCACACCUUGAAGCAUACUAACCAAGACCCUCACGUCACCGUGCACGUCCCACGCUGCACCUGGAGGAAGGUGGUGCGCGACUGCCUUCUGGAGGCGGAUAUGAUCAUAAGAACUAGGAGGCCAGAAACAAUUCCAUGACUCCCCUGCCUCCUCCAACCAGCUGCUUGGCACUAUGGUAGUGCUCCUAUCUUUGAAUUCGACGACCUUCCACACCUGUGCCAUCUGUCAAUGAGAAGACAAGGAAUUAGGAUUGGUGAAGAAGAGGGAUGGCAACAUAAUGGUCUUGGUCUGGAAAAAGCACACAUUUUCUGCUGACAUCCCCAAGGAGCUCAACCUCAAGAUCAUCUACCAACGUAUGGACCUGAAAACAGCCUAUUCGAGGAGGGGCAGGGAUAUGUGAAAUGGGAUUCCUUGUACCCAAAUCGUCUGUAGAUGAUGAAGACUGACCAGAGGAUAGCACAAUGUUUUGGACCAGUCCAAUAUCCUGUCCUACUGCUAUGCAGUUGUUCCCAGUCCUUUGUUGAAAAUCUGUUGUUGCUACCUUUCUGUACUGUUUGGCAGUACUGAAUUGCAGAGGCAAAGGACCAUCCUGGUGUAUGUCGUACAAAAGGGGUUGCUUACUUGGAGGUGGAGUAACAGUUUGAUGCACCUCUGACAGUCUCUAGACUACAUGUUGUAAUGGUAGUUGAGGCUUUCGCAACAUUUCAGAUGGAAACUGGGUUACCAUCUGAACAAUGCCAGUAAGGGGACUAGGUCGCAGGUGGUGAUCUGUGUCUGACAUUAAAGCAAAGUCUUCGUCUGA